CAAGUAGCAACUGGUCAACAAUUGUUGCAUUACCGAGAAGAAGAACAAUUCUUAUCAUUUAUCUAUCUGCCAUCGAAGCAAAUCCAAACAAAAAGUUCUGUACCUUUUCCCAUAAAGAGAAUCUUUGACAGUUGUUUUCUCUUCAAAACGUGAUAAGGUUGUUCAUGUUGUAGCUUUGGGUCGACAUCAACAUUAAAUUCUUUCAGAUAUCUGUUUCUAUUAAAUUGCUACCAUGAAUUUCUAUAUAAACCACCACAGCUGCUCUCAAUUUAUCAAACCUGUCUUAACUCUCAAUCGACAUCACAUCGUUCUCUUAGAAUCAAAAACAUGAUGAAUAUGUGCAAGAAAUCACUCUUUCUUAGGGAAAAAGCCACCAUCCUUUUGUUCCUGAUCCUUGCUGCGAGUGCUCCUCUUGUAGUUGCAACUAGGACUUCUAGUUUCAUAAUGACCAUGAUGACAGAAAUUGAAGCAAGCAGCACGGAUGUUACCCAAAUUAGUAACCUUCCAAUUCAACCAUCUAGUCCUAGUCCUUAUCCUUGCAGUUACCAGCCUGGAGAUGGGCAAUGCAAACCUCCUAAGUGAUUCAUGCUACAUACUGUCCAUCAAGCAUCUAGCUAGUUAUAUAAAUACAUGGAUCAUAUUGAUGAUGGAGGUGGAGAGAACACAAGUGGAGGCUAGAGAAUGUGUCAAGGAGACUAGAUAGAAUGAGUCCUUUUGUAUGCAUAUUAUAUAUCCAGUACACCUUUGAUAAUUUUUCUCAGAUUAUAUCCUGUUAUUUUGCUAUGUUUUAGCUGUCAGAAAUGGUUGAAAUUGAACAUCCUGUUGAGUGUUAC